rnacentral:misc_RNA from 1 species
UUUCCGUAGGUGAACCUGCGGAAGGAUCAUUAUUGUAUAACCGAGGUGCGAGGGCUGUCGCUGACCCGAAACGCCAUGCACGCCCGAGUGCCCUCACACACAUCCAUCUCACCCCUAUGUGCACCACCGCGUGGGUCCCCCUUUGGCUUGUUCGGAGGGGGGCUUACGUGUUCACGCACACUUUGUAUGCAGUGUAGAAUGUAUUUUUUGUUUUUGCGAUCACGCAAUCAAUACAACUUUCAACAACGGAUCUCUUGGCUCUC